ensembl:lncRNA
GCUGGAAUUCCUCCAGGAAGGCCGAAAGAAGCCUGGCACUUGCUUGCAGCUUGCAGCCAGGCUUGGGCAGCUGGGAUCUGGAAGGAGUUCCCUGCAGUUCUGGAGCACUCUGGCACCGCUCACACCCCCUACAUCAAACCCGUACCACACACCCCGCCUGCUCCCGCUCCACCUUCUUCUGCACAACACAAUACAGAGGAGCUCUGUGCUUCUGUACACCCACACACACACACACACAGAGAGAGACAGCGAGCUGUAAAUGCGAUUCAAGGAUUCAAGCAGGCGCCCCUCAGUUGCCGACUCUGCUCUGUGUGGCACUUGACACAGGCGCUCUCGCAUAAUCUGCCUAUUAUUCAUUGUUAGUGGCGAGACUCUUCAACACACUUCAAGGUCUAUUCAUCUGCAGAAACAAGUACUGAACUGGGUAUCAGCACUGUGGAAACGGUCCCCCAUUUGCCCUUUCAAAUUCGCCUACCAUGCAAGAUACGGCGUUGAACAGGAGCUGUUUCUUCAGCUGGAAUCUAUAGUGGUUUCUUUCCCCCAAGAGCGUCACGGCACCUGCAAGGAGCCGCGAGAGUUUUGGCUACACCAGUAAGGCACCGCAAGCCCCGCCUACCUGCUGAAAGGCAGCCUGCUGACACCCUCCUGAUCGGUUGUCUGGGAUUCUCAGCAGCCAAAAAAGCAGUAAAAAAGGAAUUCCUUCCUAAUGGUCCAUGAAAGCUGUGAUUCACCACUUAUUAUUGUUCGAGCCCUGGCGAAUCUUUCCAUAUUACCUCAGCAUUGUAACCUUCAGAAAACCUGUCCGUCACACUCUAGGGUUUAUUUUCACAUCGUGCCACCUCGUCUCUCUGUUCUGACUUGCUUGAGCAGAUCUAUGGAAUACAGUCGAGUAAUCAAUGGCCCAGAAAGCUCUUCCAGCUGGACACUUGUCAUUGGUGAUGGAGGAAAACCAUGGCAACCGGCCGCUUCUAAAGGACCGCUGGCGUUAGGGAGAAGCAUCUUCACAUUAUGGCUGCAGGAUCUGAUGUCUGCCAAACAAGCGUGGGAACUGACCUGGCCCAUCCACAGCAGCCUCAUCUGCAGCCUGUAAUGAUGGAACCUCAAUGACAUCAUACACGUUUUGGAGCAGGGCUCUGGUAGCUGCGCCGUACGCCUCAUCCAAAUACCAGUGGCUAAACGGAACACACACGCCGAGCUGAGCAAUGGAAGUCAGAUGGUCUGCGUUUUCUUUCUUCCUUUCCCCCCCUUCAGACUCAAGUGUAAGCGGCUGUCGGGAUUUAGAGAGAAAGAGACCGAGGGGCCUCCGCGAGGGUCGGCCUCGACUGUAAAUGUCGGAAAGCAAACACAGGCCUUCGUAACAAAGUGGAAUCUGAUAUAAUUUACCCCAGGCUGCACUGUUUGAUCUUCACCUACUUCAGGGUGCUUGUCAGAGCCGUGGAGGGGGGACUGAUGCAGCUUAUGGGCCGAAAAGUCGGCGUUUAUAAUCUGACGUCAUGUGCGUUGAAAAGUAUUUUCAUGUGUGGGUUGACAUUUUGAAAGUUGCGGAUUGUAUGCAAGCAUUGCUGCUGUUUUCUUUUCAUGCUUCCUGCAUAAAUGUAGUCAUAUUUAGUUACCUCCAAGGACUCUUGUAAUGUAAAACACUGCCUUCACUUCAUUCCUCAUUGGCCAAUCUAGGCAUCUUGAAUGUUUGCAUUGCUAUGUAACGUAGCCUUUGCUAUGUAACGAAAACUAGAUGUUCAAUAGGGCAAUAUAGAGCCAUUUUAUUUUAUAUACACGAAGAAACUGACCCUACACAAGAUUUUUUCACAAUUUUUUUUUUUUUAGCAUUUAGCUUUGGUUGGAGUAGCUUAGCGGUUAGCGCUCAUGCACUGACACAUGGCGCUCAUGUUGAGUUUUUUGAUCCCAGUCCUCUGUGUUCAUCAUUUUCUGGCCUGUUAUUUAUUUAUUUAUUUAUUUACUUUUGUUGUAUUUAAACAUUAAACAUCAAAUCAAAUUACAUAAUCAUCUCAGAUCUGUUUUUUUUUUUUGCAUUUUUUUAUUUUUGCAUUUUUAAGAAUAAUAUAAUUAUAAUAUUAUUAUAUACUUAUAAU